rnacentral:rRNA from 1 species
UACGUAGGGUGCGAGCGUUAAUCGGAAUUACUGGGCGUAAAGCGUGCGCAGGCGGUUUUGUAAGCCAGAUGUGAAAUCCCCGGGCUUAACCUGGGAAUGGCAUUUGGGACUGCAAGGCUGGAGUGCGGCAGAGGAGACUGGAAUUCCUGGUGUAGCAGUGAAAUGCGUAGAUAUCAGGAGGAAUACCGAUGGCGAAGGCAGGUCUCUGGGCUGACACUGACACUCAGCUGCGAAAGCUAGGGGAGCAAACAGG